CUCAAAAGUUCAUUCAACUUUGAUUUUGCGUUUGAAUUUCGUAUCAGAGUAAUCAUGCAGAUGCAUUUACAUGAAUUUUUGAAAAUUUUUGGCCAGAAGAAUCAUCACAAAGUUAUAUCUUUUGGACUGACAAGUGACCAAAGAUCUACUGUUGAUACAUUCACAGGACCAAAUUCCUGCACAGUAUCCCCAAGACACUGUCUUUCUAUAAAGGCAUUUAUUCGUUGCCUUGGAGUCAGAAACAAUGAAUUCUCGUUUUGCAAUGAAUCACUGACCUUUCUUGUUGUUCCAAGUUGUUGAUUGGCGAUACUUUAGUGCUUUCUUGUGAUGCCUGGAUCUCCUCUGUUUCACUCUCAUACAACAAUUCUUGCUCAACUGGCUCUUCAAGUGCAUUCUGGAACGUAAAUUGUGAGUGAAAAUUAUAAUUUGUAAAAAAGAGCUGGUCAGUCGAGGUUGCGAAAAUGAAAAGUAUCUCACCUUGUUUGAUGAUACAGCGCGCUCUUAACUUAUGUCUGGGAUCAUUGUUGUGAUAUAGUUAUUAGCAUGCUUCUUUUUGCAACGAAGAGGCAAUUUUUUAUGAAAUACUUGAUGAUACUCCACACUUGUUACUUUCAAACGCUUUUUUGUUGGACUAUUUCCAACUCGAUAAAUUUACAAAACUGAAUUAUUGUCAUAAAAUACACAUGGAUUUUUAACUAAACGGAAGCUUUAACAUAAAAUAGAGUUAAAUAGAAAAGUGAAUAAAGAAUUAUUCUUGUGGAGGAGGAACCUCUUUAAUAA